AUGCAAACUUCAUCACACACCUGCAUCAAGAGCCUCCUUUCCUCCUUUGUAUUAUUUCUAGAGCUCCCAUUCAAGCUGCCCAAAGCUUUCUGCAUUCCAGUUUCCACUCUCCAGCCUGAGGUACAGGACUUGCAGCAGCUCCCUGAACUCAGCUCUGGUACAAGUUCUCCUGCCCGUCAGCCCACUGUGCUGCUGCCCAUCCAGGAAGACUUACCAGAAGAUACACAUGCUCAGCAUUUGUCUGCAGAGGUUUUCAACUUGCCCUGAAACUCCAUCCUGGCAAAACGUCUGACACACAUCCCAGAGCACUUCAGUUUAAGGUAACAGAAGAGAUAGCCCCUCAAAUAUAUAAAUAAUAUAUUCCCUUGUGCCCUCAGAGGCAAAAGGUGUUUGAAUGGACAAAAGAAAGCUCAGCUUGUUCACAUCCAAGGACACCAUGGGAGAGAGCAAAAUACUCUGCAUAAUUUGUAGGACUUAAAACUGCUCAUUUCACCAUACAACACUGUAUAAAAAUGAUGCACUUUAACCCAAACAGACAUACCAAGAGUGACACAGAGCAUCUUCUUGAAGAGCAAAAGGAAGCAACGCAUAUCAGCUAAGAGGGAUAAGUAAAGGAGAGUACUUUCCACAGUGAAAAUUUAGGCAGGAAGAAUAUCAUUACUGACAGCACAAUCUCACCUCUGGGAUCAAACUUGCAGUCCUGCGCAGCGCUGAAACUGCCACAUGAAUUUCCUGAAUUCCUCCAUUUUGCAUCUCAUUUACAGAAAGCCAGCUCCAGUUCUGCAAAGAUGCAAGCAUACUCAAAGAGGUUCCUUCAGGCCUAAGAGAGAUUUGUUCAAGUUAUUGAUUCCUCAUUACAAUUUCUGCUGCCCCCAAGAUAUCCAUAGAGAUCUAACAUUAGAGUACUGGCCAGUACUCUUGCUUCACUUCUAAGAGCUGAUGUGUUUACAUCUUAAGGGAAUAUUGAUCUACAGCAAAUCAUUUUUUUUUUUUUUUUUUUUUUUUUAUUUCAAGCAAGCUGAAACUCCAGUAGAAAGAGACAGGACAGUAAAAAACUUUGCUAGUGCUAAUGACAAACACCAGAAUGUAAUAACAGAGCUUUAAAGACUUAUAAAGUAAACCCAAAAAUUGUUUGCAAAUAUAAUGAGAGGGAAGUUCAUAAAUGAAAAAUAGAAUUUAGUUACAGUACCUCUUCUUAAGAGAUCUUGAGUAACAUCUGGCACAACUCACCCUUUAAAAUAUCAUUACUGUUAAUUUGUUUACAAAAGACUUAGGAGGUUAGAAGAAAAAGGGGGAGAGCUGAAAAAUAAAACCACUGAAAAGCAUCUUUCCCUCUUGCUG
rnacentral:lncRNA from 1 species